GGACGGGGACCUAGGGCCUGGGGAGGGGUGAGGGAGUGGAGACCCCUCUUCUUAUGUUUUAUUUCUGGCUUUUAAUUUUUUCCAGAUGAAGGAGGGUUUCAUCAGUUCUUUCAACUGUACCCAGCAAGGUUGCUUGGCAGUUGGCACCUGGAAACAAAACCAGCUUAUUAUAUGAAAUCCCUAAAUCCCUAUAAAGAACCAAAAGCUGCAAAUGGAACAACAAAGAAUCACAAGCUACGGAUCCUCGUUCAGAACUAGAAAAUGAUCUCUUCAAUCCUUUCGGUUGAUCCAUCUCCAAAGCUCUUUUUUCCUUGAACAAGAAGGAUUGAUGAACGAAAGCUAGGAGGUUAGGAUACACCCAAAGAGACGAUUAGGGCCUCCGCUCCCUGUGUCCCCUCAUCGGAUAAUUAAGUUUCAGAAAGAUCAUUCAUUAUUUCAAAAUUCAAAGAUUUCAUCCAAAUUUUUAAGGGUGGAUAGACUAUAGAAUUGCCUUGUUUUAAUUAUUGUUGCUUGAAAUGAUACGGAAAUUUGAAAAAGGGACACUUUUUGUUUUCUGUAACAAUUCCAUUGUUUUGAAAAUUUAAUGAUUUAACAAGGAUAAAAGAGACUUUUUAAUCAUUCCGUUGGAAAUAAUUAACAUAGUGGAGGCUUUAGUAUUUAGGAGAAAUUUGAAGGGAGGUUUACCCUUUUAUUUUAUUUUUUAAUAUUUUUUAUUCCUCCGUUCUUCCUUCUCCUUGUUUCGGUUAGGAGGAACAAAAAGGAAAAUAAAAUAAAAGUAAUUUUUUUUCUUCUCAGCGUCUUCUCGGGAGAGAAGAAAUAACACAAGAAAACCCUACCACUAUCAGGGCUGACAGCGAAUCUCUAUAGAAAACUUCUUUCGGUCGUUCCAUGACAUAUUCCUGCUGUUUUCACUGUAAAAUUCUGGGUUCUAUUAAUGGCGUUUUAGGGCUCCUUUUCCCUCGUGCUUGUUUACAGACGAUGAAGAGUGAUGAUUGGAGAUACGAAAUUUGAGGAGUUCUCGUUAACUGGAUACCUUGUGAAGAACCUGAAACCUCUGACACAGGCUGACCCUGUGAUUCUUGCGAAAUACGUGGAAGCAUUGUUAAAGAAGGAUAAACCAACUAAAGAAUUACAAAAACUUUGUACUGAGAAUUUAGUUGAAUUUCUUGGCCAGGGUACAGAUUCUUUCAUCACGAAAUUGUUCCAGGCCCUACAAGAUGGUUCAAUUAUAGCAUCUGGUAAGGGGUUGGAUACCAUCAAGCAGGUUGAACCAUCUUCUUCUUUCAUUACAGAGGAUCCAAUAGAAAGGACAGUUUCAUCUCCAAAGCCUGAGGAGCUUUCUCCCUCAUCUGGUCAUGCUAGUGAUACUGAGAAAGAACUUAGUGAUGAUGAUGAUGAUCGCAAUCAUAAGCAUCGCAGGCGGGAGACCAGGUCUCAGUCUUUUGACAAAUAUGGACAAGAGCAACUUCCAAGUAGACCAAACAGAAAACGUAACAAACCUUUUGGAAAUGGACAGCUAUUACUAGAAAGUGAUCCUCAGUCAAGUGAAUCUCGAAAAGAAUGUGGUCCUCCUCCAGAAAGAGACUUCUCUGCAAAAUUUGAGAAAAGGCAUCCUGGCUUGGUGACACUGCCUCGACCUCCAUUUGAUUUGGGUCAGAGGACAAAAGUAAAUCCAUCAUUUCAUGUUGAACCUGGUACUCGUUUGGAUUUAUCUACAUCUGUGGGUCGUCUUCCCAUUGGUAAAGGAAGAGGAAGGAGUUCUGGCCUCUGGAACCAACAUGAUUCUAGGUUUGGCUCUGUGGAAACACUUGAUUUUGCAUCACAAAUGGCUCCAUGGGGUCCUGCCCCUGGUCUAUUUUCUGGAAGAGGGCUGCCAAUUGCUGCUAGCACACAAAAUGCAUCUUGGGGUGCAUUUGGGUUAAUUCCAGGAAUGCCUAAUGGCACUCUGGAUACACUCCAUCCACUUGGUUUGCAAGGAACACUUAGACCACCUUCCUUGAGUAUUGGCAUGCCUCGCCAACGAUGUAGAGACUUCGAGGAGCGUGGAUUUUGUCUUAGGGGGGAUAUGUGUCCAAUGGAGCAUGGUGUAAAUCGAAUAGUUGUUGAGGAUGUUCAGAGUCUCUCACAGUUCAAUUUACCUGUUUCUCUUCCAAGUGCACGCCUAUUGGGAAUGCCAGCUGGAACAGGACCUUUACCUUCAGUUAGUGCUCCUUCAAACUUGUCAAUAAAGAGCAAAGGUUCACAUUGUAAAAGUGGUAAAUCUGGAACAUCUGAUGAUGGAUUAAGCUUGAAUAGCAUGUUGCCUGUGUCUGCUGGUUCUGGUGAAGCUGAUUUGUAUGAUCCUGAUCAGCCUCUGUGGAACACUGACCAUCCUGAAACAUCAAGUGCACUCCUAAGGCUUUCACCAAGGAUUUAUGAAGCCGAACCAUUAUGGGAUGCUGAUGCUUCUGAUCACCGUAGUUUAAGGUUAUCUGAUGGUUUUGACAGUGAACACCCAGGUAGAAAUGCCACAACUGGUACUGGUUCACAGACUGCAACUUCUGUUUGGGGACGGAUAGGGAGUUCUGAAAAUAAACUAGAAAUGAGUGGAAAACAUAGCAAUACAAUAACUUCUACGAGUAAUCUAGGAAAUGAGGUGAAAGACUCUAAGGAGCUUUUACCUUCUCUUCCAGUUACUGGCCAUCGAGGGAAGCAUACUCUUACAGAGGAUAUAGCCUCAAAAGCUAUGAAUUCUUCUACUUCAGCGAAGCAAAGUUAUCCUGUAUGUAAAGUUGGGCGACCAUCUCAUAAAGCUUCACGUACUCUUUUUGUAAAUUGUAUUCCCCAAAAAAGUAACAAGAGGGAGGCCCUUUUUUCACAUUUCCAAAAAUUUGGGGAGGUUUUUGACAUUUAUAUUCCAAUGAAUAGUGAAAAAGCUUUUGUGCAAUUCUCUAGACGAGAGGAGGCAGAAGCUGCUUUAAAGGCACCUGAUGCUGUAAUGGGUAACCGUUUUAUCAAGUUAUGGUGGGCUAACCGAGAUAACAUCCCUGAUGAUGCUAUAAGUGGUGGAACCACAUUAUCUGCUUUACCCCAUGGUGUGACAGCUCCUUCUGCUUCACCUCUUUCAUCUAUUGCUGAAAGAGGAAAAGAAAAUCUCCCAUCUGCACUUCCAAAGCCUAGUGUUUCUCCGGCUUCUGAUGUUCCUAUGGGAGCCUCUGUUCACCCUAAACCUGGUUUAACAAAUGGUGCCAAAGCUACAGCUCCUCUGCAAAAGAAACUGGAGAGUUUGGAGCUUUUGAAAGAAGAACUUCGUAUAAAGCAGGAAAUGCUGGCCCAAAAGCGGAAUGACUUCCGCUGCCAGUUGGAUAAACUUGAGAAACAAGCUGCAACAGUCAAGGGUGAUGCAGAUGCUAAGCAUGUUCUCAAGAGACAUAAGGUGGGGUCAGUAACCCCUUCUAGCAAAACUGCAACACCAAGGUCCUUAAAUCCUUAUACUGCUGGAUCACAAACACCACUCGAGAAGACCAUUGAUAAUUGUGGGGAUAAUAGUGCAUCUCCCAAUUCCAAAACAAGUUCUGCUGUGGUACUACGGUCACCUAAGAGUUUGAAGCAGCCAAGUUGUCCUGCGCCAGUAGGGUCUUCCUUUAUUGUGAACAGGUUCAAAUUGGAUAACCGCCCUACAACAUUUAGAAUUCUUCCGCCCUUACCAGCUGAUUUUGCAAAUGUUGCUGUUUUGAAGGAGCACUUUUCAUCAUUCAGUGAUCUGUCUGCUGUUGAGCUAGAAGAUCUAGGUUCUCAUACUGAUGGAUUGGGUCCAUCCAAGAAUUGUUCUGUUCAUAUAACUUUCACAACACGUCAUUCAGCUGAGAAGGCAUUUGCAAAUGGCAAAUGCUGGAAGGGACACAAUUUACAGUUUACAUGGGUGACAUCCUCUGGUAAUUCCAAUAGAAACCAUGGCAGGAUAGAAAUUUCUCCCAUGUCUACAUGCAAGGGGCCUCAAGAUACAGAAGUUUCAAUGAAGAAUAUGUCUUCUGGGUGUUCUUUAAGAAGUACAGAUAAAUCAAUAUGCAUUGUUUCUCAGACAACACCUAUUACUGAAAAUGGAGAACCUAAGAGUUCAGAGGGAACUAGCAGUAGUGUUGAGUGUACAAAACCAUUUGAGGGUUGCCAAUCUGGUUCUAACACCAAGUCAUUGUCUGAGACACGGUUACCUAAAGCAGAUGUUUUGAUUGUUGAGGGUGGCCUAAAUGUUAGAUCUGAAGAUUUAGGGGCUAAAUUUGAUGAGUAUGAGGGAUUUGAAGAAUGUGGAGGUUGAGGGAGUCUGUCAAUCUGUCAAACAUAAUUUUCUGGAUGCGAAGUCAAGUUAUGAUUCCUUGGAAUUUUAGGUUGUUGAUGAGACAGGCAUGGUUCUUAGGUACCAUAUUGAAUAGCUCAUUCAAGUAUUCAGCUGGUGCUAGAGGUGCUAAUCGGUUUGAAGACUCAUUGGCCAAGGCAGGAGUGGCAAGGAUUCAACUUGAAUGGGGAUGUCCAGGGCAGGCUCUAAUCUAUUGCAUGGAUGUUAAACCUGUGACCCUAAGUCACAUGGACUAUAAGGCAUCAGUCAUGUCACCUAGUUUGACAUAUUAACACUGAAACAUCAGAUUCUAUGGCUGGGGGAGUAUAAAAAUAUGACUGCGAACCUGUAUUCCCCAUGAGGUUUAAUAUUUCACACUCCCACAAUUUCUUUUCAAGUCAGAAUAGAGAUUCUUAUUGUAAUAUCUGCAGGCACUUGUGAAAUUGUUGACCUGCAGGUUUUGUAUCUAGCUCUCUUUUUUCUUUUCUUUUUUUUUUUUAAUUUCCUAAUCAGUAUGACUGGAGAAAAGAGCAUUUCUUGAGGUGAAAUAUGAUAUAUAAAUGAUUUUUUUUUCACCUUUGUGUCCUAGAACUAUGAUUCCUUGAAUAUCAUCCUAUUUUGUAUGCACUGGUGGCAGGAUCUCAUGGAGUUCUCAUUGUGUUUUCCAUACACAAAUAAAAUGCCCGUUGAGUAUUAA